AAAGUUUUAACUCUGCCAGUUCCAAGAUUAGGUGCAGUCGUUCUCAAGGCAUAAUUUAUUUUUGAAAUGUUCCUUGGGUUCUGAAACUUCAGCAUGCCAAUGCUAAACUAUUCCUUGAGGGAGAACAACUCUCCCUUAAGAGUCUCCGAGGCCUAGUGUUGCUGAGCAUGACUGAUAGGCAAAACAUCGACAGCCUUAAUUUUUUCUUUUCAAAACAUGUUUAACUUCAGUAAACCUUAAGCCAAGCCUCUUGCAGAUGGCAGACAGCUUAAUUGCUGUGGUAACCUUGUCUGACGUUUUUUGGAAAACUUUGGGUGUUAUAAUAAUCCGUUGAACCCAGAGAAAAUAGAUUUCAACCCACACAAAGACAUGCAUAUGGCUCAGAAUCUCGACUCGGCUGCUGAGGUUUUGUCCAGGCGUGUUCCUUUUUUCCCUUCCUUGCCAGGCUUUCUGGUACAGCUUGCGAGUCCAGCAUGUAUUGUUUGGAUAGCAAAUCCAAAAGAGGCCCAGGAUGAAAUGAAUCAGCGUUACUGUUUCUUCCCCGACCCAUCUGUCUUCCCGGAAAGUCUGAGGUGUGGAUGCAGAAUGUUGUCAGAGUUCAUCCACGUCGAAGCGCUGGAGCACGAGCCGGCCCUUUAUCCCUUGCCAUGGCCAAGGAAUAAUCCAUCAUGUGGAGAGAUAACAUUUUAUUUCUCCAUGCAUCAGGUGAUGGACAUUUGAGUGGUUCCUACCUGACUCACUUUGUGAAAGAAUCUCUCUGAGUCCUGCGUGGAGGCCCAAAAGAGCAGAGCUGGGAGACCAGGGAGCUGCAGGAACCCCAGGGAUGAAGGUGAGAGCGGGAGGCGGUUGUCUGCAGAAGCCGUGAUGACCUACACGUUGUUGGAUCCAGCCAUUUGGCAGGUGCCUCUGUUUUGACUGUAGGGAUGGAAAUCCUUCCAAGCAUGCCGAGAGGGAAGGUAACAUGGCAGAUGCACUGGCUUUGACAUUGCCGUGGUGGUUGCAAUCCUGCAUCUGUCUCUUCCUGAUGGGGUGACCUGAGGCAAGUUGCUUGGCCUCCCUGAAUCUGUUUUGUAGUGUGCAAGAUGAGGACAAUAUUGCCUUGGGGGUGACUUCAAGGACUGAGAAAGGUAUUUUUUUUUCUUGUUUGAGACAAAGAUCUUGCUCUGUCACUGCAGCCUCAACCUCCUGGGCUCAAGCAGUCCUCUCACUUCAGCCUCCUGAGAAGCUGAAACCACAGGCAUGAACACCAUGCCUGGCUAAUUUUUCAAUUUUUUUUGUAGAGACAGAGUCUCACGGUAUUACCCAGGCUAGAGGGAGAUAAACUCUAAGCUUAGUACAGUACCUGGCUUAUAUGAAGAAAUCGGAAAUCAGUGAUAUUUACUUUAUAUGUUCAUAGUUCCUAACACGGGUAUUUAGUUGGUCUCCCUUUUGCCACAUCUUCUAACUGUCCAGAUCUCCUACUUGUCUCCCUCUCCCUCCAUGAACCCUCCUUAGGCUCCCCCUCAAUGAUUUCCAUCUCCUCUGUUGUCAGUUUGCCCCAUUCCAUAGCACUCCAAUGAGCUCUCCAUAUUCCUCCAGCAGGACUCUGUGAGCGUUUCUUGUGCAUUAACAUUGUCUCAUUAAGAGUGGGGAGGUGGCCUCAGAAGUGGUUCAGUGGUAGUUUAAGAUGCUGGGUAAGAGCACAGAUUCUGCAACAACACUGCUGGGUUCAAAUCCUGACUGGGCUGCUUAACACCAAUACAAUUUAGUUUCCUUAUCUGUGAAAUGGGUUCAAUAGCAGUUUCUCUCUCAUAGAGCUGUGAAAAAGGAUUAAGUGAGAUCCAUUUAGGCCCAUGCCCGAACUUAUGUGUGCCGUGUGUUAGCUAUUAUUACUUCCACCUGUGUAAUUUUGGUAAGUUAGCUUAUCUUUGUGAACCUCAGUUUUCUCAUCAGCAAACCAAUAGUCAUAAAAUGUAAUCCUCUGGGCUGUGGAAUUAGACGAAGUGCUCAACAGGUGGGCAUAGUGCUGGGUGCAUGGUAAAUAGUCAGUCCUGGGGGUGGUUGUUUUUGUCAGCUCCUGGGGACAGGAGCCCUGCCUUGGUCAAGUUGGGAAUAUAUUUUCCAGAGUCUCCUUUUUGGGGAGUCCUGAUAGGACUUGGUCCAUUUAACAAACAAAAUAACGAAACUAGUUAAAGUCGAACUGCAGAUCAAUCAUAGCUAAUACUUUCUCAGUAUAAACAUAUCCCACAUAUUACAUGGGACAUACUUAUGCCUAAAAAAUUAUCCACUGUGGAUCCACAAUUCAAAUGUAGUGGGACAUCUGUAUUUUAUAUGACAAAUCCGCAAGAGGAGCUAGUGUGAGUCUCAGAAGAUCAAUGGAUGGAGGGAGAGGUCCUCUGAGUCCCAGCAUGUCUUCUUUCUCCUCUGCUCUCCUGCGGUGGCUCCCUUGGGGUCCUGGCUCCAAAGGUGGACAUGCUGGGCUUGUUGAAUCCCGGCCUGUUCUGUGCAAAUCUCCUCAACAAUUGUCCAGAGUCUGCCCCCUCUCAGCAACCCCACAGCUAUUGCCCUGGUCCUACGUCACUCUGGGUGCCAUCCGCCAUCUGUGUUCUCUACACAGCACCCAGAGAGAUCCCUUUAAAGGUGACAGUGCUGGUCAGGCGUGAUGGCUCAUCCAUGUAAUCCCAGCAGUCUGGGAGACUGAGGCAGGCAGAUCAGCUGAAGUCAGAAGUUUGAGACCAGCCUGGCCAACAUGGUGAAACCCCAUCUCUACUAAAAAUGCAAAAGUUAACUGGGCAUGGUGGCGUGUAGCUGUGGUCCCAGCUACUUGGGAAGCAGGGGAAUCGCUUGAACCCAGGGGUCAGAGAUUGCAGUGAGCUGAGAUCGCGCCACUGCACUCCAGCCUGGGUGACAGACUCUGUCUCAAAAGAAAAAAAAAAAAACUAAGUGCAGAAGUUAAUGCCUUUCCAAAUCCUAUAGCUGCUGAGUGUAAGCAGAAGCUCACCUUUUCCCCUUUCUUCUCAAACGGGGCUUGAGAAGAUGGGCCGUGGCUGGCCUCGGCCUCACAUGGGCUUCUGUGGGCCAAGGCCUUGGCGUUCCUCCAGCCCGGGCUAGAACUGCCUCCUACGGAGGAAUGACAUCCAGGCCUUCACCCUCCAGGUCAGCUGUGGCGCCAGCCGAGGUGACCGCGUGGGCAGCAGCUCACAUUCCUUCUCUGCUUUUGGCCCCAUGUCCCCGGCACUCAGGUCUGGAGUUCAGUCCAAGUGUUGAGACACAGGUGUGCAGCUCAGUGUGGCCUUAAUUAACCCUCCCGUGGCCUGGGCUCCGCCUGCGCCUCAUUAACUCUGGGCUCCUGGUUGUGUUCCUGACGCUGCAGCCUGACACUGCAGGCGGGCGAGCAGUUUGCGAUGGAAGGCCACCUUCUGAUCAGAGGAAGCCUUGACCUGAGGAGGCGCCUGCCUUUUCGCUGGGCUUGCCUUUCUCUGGACAGCUUUUGCUCAGCAUUUCAGGGCGGCUGAUUCCCCUGGGACUGAAUCCAUGCCCGUCAUGAUGGUGCCCUGGCAGCUUCACAGUUUUUCCAUGUUUGCAAGCCGUUCUUUGGUGGGAAAAAAAGAUGAUUUUUCCUCUCCCUACUCCCAUUCCCUUUUCUUAGUUUCCCUGAACUACAUUUUGAGCUAAGCGAAGGUCUUGGGUUGGCCUUUAGAGGGAGUAAAUCCUCUGAGAGCAUCAGGUACCCGAGAGGCAGAAAUGAGGGUGUCAGGCCCCGGGGAGCAUGUGCCACUGGCUUGCCUCCCGCUGGGAAGUAUUUCUGUACCUUUGGCCCAUGAACUAUGUUUGCUUCUCAGCUAGCUCUAAAUGAGUAUUUAGGGCUUUAUCUAUCUCCCAUACGCAUGAUUGUCUGGGAUGUAGGACGGCAGCCCUGGGUGGGGUCCUGGCUCACCUGCUCUCCAGCUGGGUGACUGGACCUCACUGCCACCCAACACUCACCCAGCCCCUUUCCCGGGGCCCCGGGAGUGGGGACAUGGGUAGGAGAGUGAGCAUGCAGAUGUCCGGGAAGCAGUUUCGGAAGGCACACGGUUUGUCCUUGCCAUCUCUUUGAUUUGACUUACUUUUGGCGUGAAUUUCCAAGACGUCUCAUCAACCACUUCUGACAAAUGAGGAAGUGGAGGCUGACUCAUGGUUCCCCAGCACUGGGAGCAAGAACAGGGUGGACAUCCAAGUCUCCCGGAUUCCCAGCUCCGUGCUUCGUGCCCGUUACAUAUUUGGGACAAAAAGCCACCUGCCUGUGGGAUUAACAACAGUCGAGGUUAUGAUUGACACCGUCCCUUAGUGAGUGCCCAGGUCUGGCCAGGCUGUCUCACCUUGAAUCCUUUCAGCCCAUUCCGUGGACCGGUCAGGUGAAGUGUGGCUCACGGGCCGCUGGCUGCUUUCCAGGGUGCAGUUGCCGAGAGCGGGUAUGGGGCUUUCCCGAGCCACAGCCUCCAUGGCGUGUGCUGGAGGAACCCCCGCAUGGAACCCAAGGGCGCCAGAGGCAGAGUUGGAGCUGCGGUAUUGGUGAUCCUGGGGAGGGGUGUCGGGGCUGGGUGCCUGCUGGGAGAGAGGAAAGAACUGGAGCCACCAGGAAGACCAGCCAACUGUGGGAGUCAGAGGCUGUACGCGUGAGAGGGCUUGAGGACCUCUCAUAGUGCUCUCUGAAGCAGGGGAAGAGAGGGCCAGCCAGGAGGCCCUCAUGGUCCUCUCCACCAUCCUGCAAUCUUUGCUUUUCUCCAAAUGGGCGGGCUCCCCACAGCUGGCCAGCCCGCUGUGGUGUAGACUGUUUCUCUUGUUUGAGCUCCGCAUGAGAGACACUCAACAGAUGCCGAGAGGCAAGUCGGAAGAGCCAAGAGCCAGAAACAAGUCGGGGCCACUGCUGUUGCCCAACACACGGUUGUCCCCAGCUCCACCCCAGAACAGCCCAAAUUCCCCAGAUUGCUGUGGAGAGAGUCAGCCUGUGCGAAGAGGGAUUGAGCAAUGCCG